UCGCAGCGCGUGUUUAAGCACGAUAUUGCGGAAACUGACGCCCUUGAGCCGCGCGGUGCGGAUAUAUUGCGCCGUCAUCACCUCGGCCAUCGAGGCCCGCGUCAUGCGCGCGAUAUAGCCCAUGCCGUAGAGCGCGAUGGUCAGGACGGGCAGGGUGAAGUUCCAGAAGGUG
rnacentral:ncRNA from 1 species